rnacentral:lncRNA from 1 species
CCUAUGCCAAUAAGAAAAAUUCAAAUUGCAUGCCACUGGAAAUGUUUCUGUAAUCCUUGAAUUUUUUUGUCCAUAUAAAAGACCAUCAUUCUUCCAUUCACAUUAUGUUUCUUCUGAUAUCUGCUGCACGGCUGCCCUGCAUCAAACCCCAUGAACCAAAUACAUGUGAUAAACCAAGAGACCUUUUGAUAAACUUCUCAGAAAGCUGUCGGAUGCAAAUUUGUAUUUUGGACUGAAAUACCUUUAUUAUCACAAGAGACCUUUUGAUAAACUUCUCAGAAAGCUGUCGGAUGCAAAUUUGUAUUUUGGGCUGAAAAACCUUUAUAUCUAUGGAAUAUGGAUACUUUAAUAUGUUUGCCAUAUUUGUGCUCCGAAC